UACGUAGGGUGCAAGCGUUGUCCGGAAUUAUUGGGCGUAAAGAGCUCGUAGGCGGUUUGUUGCGUCGGCUGUGAAAUCCCGAGGCUCAACCUCGGGUCUGCAGUCGAUACGAGCAAACUAGAGUGUUGCAGGGGAGACUGGAAUUCCUGGUGUAGCGGUGAAAUGCGCAGAUAUCAGGAGGAACACCGGUGGCGAAGGCAGCUCUCUGGGUCCCUACUGACGCUGGGGUGCGAAAGCAUGGGGAGCGAACAGG
rnacentral:rRNA from 1 species